UGGAUUUCAAUUGUAAGUCUUCAGAAAA
rnacentral:sRNA from 1 species